rnacentral:rRNA from 1 species
GACGAACGCUGGCGGCGUGCCUAAUACAUGCAAGUUGAGCGCUGAAGGUUGGUACUUGUACCAACUGGAUGAGCAGCGAACGGGUGAGUAACGCGUGGGGAAUCUGCCUUUGAGCGGGGGACAACAUUUGGAAACGAAUGCUAAUACCGCAUAAAAACUUUAAACACAAGUUUUAAGUUUGAAAGAUGCAAUUGCAUCACUCAAAGAUGAUCCCGCGUUGUAUUAGCUAGUUGGUGAGGUAAAGGCUCACCAAGGCGAUGAUACAUAGCCGACCUGAGAGGGGGAUCGGCCACAUUGGGACUGAGACACGGCCCAAACUCCUACGGGAGGCAGCAGUAGGGAAUCUUAGGCAAUGGACGAAAGUCUGACCGAGCAACGCCGCGUGAGUGAAGAAGGUUGUCGGAUCGUAAAACUCUGUUGGUAGAGAAGAACGGUGGUGAGAGUGGAAAGCUCAUCAAGUGACGGUAACUACCCAGAAAGGGACGGCUAAAUACGUG